rnacentral:lncRNA from 1 species
GCACCUCAGACCUUAGGACCCCGACGAGGCGCGAAAUCCCCACAAACCUCCUGCCAUCCUUGAAUCUUAGUGCGAAACCUACAGUUCCCCUUCGCACUGUCCAGCAGACAUUUUCAUUUUACCUCCACGAAUCCUUUAAAUGCUUUAUUUAGUUCAUCUAUGCGCUGCUUCCUUUCAACUAAAAUGCUAGCUUUUUUAAGCUGUGCUAUCAGACCUAGGGAAUUAAACAGAAGAAUACUCUUUACAAAGAUCACACACCCAGUUACUGCCUUAAGAAUCCUCACUCAGGCAGGAAUACAAAAGAUAAUCCAUUAAUUGAAUUUUUGGGGUGUCAACAAAGAUACACGGAAGGGGACUUAGCUAUAUGAAGUGUUAUAUGACCAACAGCCUCCAAAGCCAUGUGGAAAAUAUUGAAGAAGAGGAAUUCAUAUCCUGAAAUAUUCAGGUAUAAUUAAGGGCAGAGGUGAUGUUGCACUGAACCUCAGAGUCAAAGGCUAGAUAAGAUCUCCAUAGGGAGUUCAUCUGAGCAAAAUUUGAAGGAAAACUUCAAGAGCAGGUGAUUUGGGGUAGAAAUUAGAAACAAGGUAAGUUGAGGGUCUUUGAUAUUUUCUGUCUUAAAACUUAGAUUGAGGAAUUGGAAUGUUAUGAAUGUAUAAAUGGGCUUAAGGUUUAGGGGGAAAGUGGAAUCUGGCUUUACCACUUACUUUAUGAACAAUCAGUUGUGUGGCUUUGGGCAAGUUAUUUAGUCUUUCAAAAAAUAUAACUCACUGGGCACAGAUACUCAGGAUAUUUAGGCAGGAUCUUUGGAGCCCAUGAGUUCAAGGCUUUCCUGGGCAACACAACCAGACCUUAUCUCAAGGGGGAACAAAAAAGGAGGGGAAAGAAAGAAAAGAAAAAUAAACAAUUUUAUUAUCUUAAAAUGGAACUAAUGAAAGACCUCUUUCAUGUGAUAAAAUUAAGUGAGAUAUUGUAUGUAAGCAUUACC